UUUCGUCCGACGAAUCCAUCCGCGUUAUCAUCUAGAAGAUUAUCCCCCGGUUUCGAAGUGAAAGGAGGGUCACUUGAAGACAGCAACACAACACGGGAAGUCACGGAGCAGUUGAGAAUCAUUGAGUCAAAGAUGGGCCAAGACUACAGCUACUCUCAGCCUGAUUCGUCAGAUCAACAUGGUAGAUACUCUGACGAC